rnacentral:rRNA from 1 species
GGCUCAGGAUGAACGCUGGCGGCGUGGAUAAGGCAUGCAAGUCGAGAGGGUUUAGACCCUCGGCAAACGGGUUAGUAAUACAUAGGAAUUUUCCCAAAAGUCAUGGAUAAUUCAUCGAAAGGUGGAACAAUACAUGAUAUGCUCUACGGAGUAAAGAUUUAUCGCUUUUGGAGAAGCCUGUGUCCUAUCAGCUAGUUGGUGGUGUAAAGGACCACCAAGGCUAUGACGGGUAGGGGGUGUGAGAGCACGGCCCCCAACAUUGGGACUGAGACACUGCCCAAACUCCUACGGGAGGCUGCAGUCGAGAAUAUUCCACAAUGGUCGAAAGACUGAUGGAGCGACGCCGCGUGCAGGAUGAAGGCCCUUGGGUCGUAAACUGCUUUUUUAGGGGAAGAAUUUGUGACGGUACCCUAAGAAUAAGAGGCUACUAACUCUGUGCCAGCAGUAGCGGUAAUACAGAGGCCUCAAGCGUUAUCCGGAUUCAUUGGGCGUAAAGAGCAUGUAGGUGGAUAUAUUAGUCAGAUGUCAAAUCUUCGAGCUCAACUCGAAAACUGCAUUUGAAACGGUAUAUCUAGAGAGAGUGAGAGAUUGAUGGAACAUAUGGUGUAGCAGUGAAAUGCGUUGAUAUCAUAUGGAACACCAAAGGCGAAGGCAUUCAAUUGGCACUCUUCUGACACUGAGAUGCGAAAGCGUGGGUAGCGAAUGGGAUUAGAUACCCCAGUAGUCCGCGCCGUAAACGAUGCAUACUAGGUAUUACGAGAAUCGACCCUCGUAGUGUCGUAGCUAACGCGUUAAGUAUGCCGCCUGGGGAAGUACGGCCGC